rnacentral:rRNA from 1 species
UACGUAGGUGGCGAGCGUUAUCCGGGUUUAUUGGGCGUAAAGCGUGCGCAGGCGGUUUAUUAAGUCUAAGAUUAAAGCCCGGAGCUUAACUCCGGUUCGUCUUAGAAACUGGUAGACUUGAGUAUGGUAGAGGCAAAUGGAAUUCCUAGUGUAGCGGUGGAAUGCGUAGAUAUUAGGAGGAACACCAGUGGCGAAGGCGAUUUGCUGGGCCAUUACUGACGCUCAUGCACGAAAGCGUGGGGAGCAAAUAGG